ACGCACUUGCUCAAUUAUGUUGAAUUAAUUGUUCCGUUGAUGUGGAAAUAACACUAAGAAGCUAGUUUAUAUGGACUUAAUUGCUUUGUGAUUGAAGAAUAACGUACUGAUUUUCCACAGGGGGAAACGUGACAAAGGGAAGGCCUUCAGGUAUUGUUUUGGCAAGCUAGGAGAACACAUCUGACAGACAAAAAGGUUUCAUCAAAGACACACAGGCAGCUCCUGAAGUAAAGGACCUACACAGGACCUUCAUAUCAAGGACAUUGACUGUGUGGAUCUCGAGGUGCAGUUACCCAAAAGUUGCUACCCACGGAAUACCAGGUUUUGAGGGAUCCUGCCAGAGCAGAGAAUCAACAGAUACAUUGAAGAGGAGACUCCGACAUGACCGCCGGCAUCUUGUGUUAUUCACCCCCACCACUUGUAAUACUGAAUGCCUGAAUUGUUGUUUGCUGCUCAGACUUUGUCAACAGAUAUGGUCU